rnacentral:misc_RNA from 1 species
AAACCUUCAAGCUCUGCUUGGUGUUGGGUGUCUGUCUCGCCUCCGUGCGUGGACUCGCCUUAAAAUCAUUGGCAGCCGGUAGUUUGGCUUCGUGCGCAGCAGAAUACGCGCGUGAGACCGGGCGAUCGGCUUUCCAUAAGCCUCUUUUUA